rnacentral:lncRNA from 1 species
GCUGCUUUUCAUGAGGAGCGUCACACAAUAACUAUUUACAAAUUAAAGAGUAUACACAGUAAACUAAGUACAAGUUAAAUUAUAUAAUUAAUUAAUUAAUUAAUUAUUAAUUAAUUAAUUAAUUAAUAAUUAAUUAAUUUGAGAGUAUAUACUAAUUUGUGAUUUGUGACGUGUGUUUUGUCUUUCGUUUGACACGUUUUUUAUCUUUGUACCUGAUAUAGUAUGUACUAUGUAGAUUGCUCAAUAAAUUCGUUACAUAAAAAAAAAUUAUAAUUAAUGUCCCAUACCAAGAAUCAUUUAUAAACAUGUCCAAAACCAGUUCGUGUGCCCUCCACUUGAAUGCAGUAAAUGAGCUCGAAGAUCGCGUCAUUGGAGGCAACAUAUAGUAAAAAUAUGAUCAAUGUUUGAAGUGGCAAAUAAAUCUUUAUAGAGCUUGUUGGUAAUAAUCCUUAGCCUGCAUAGUCCACGCUAUCUUUUUUCCAGGAAAUUCCAACACUGUUAUCGUACGAAAGUGCAACAUCAACAUCGUUUGCACCUCAGUUGUUUUUGUCUAAUUUCCAGUGCUCGUUGGUAACAAUCCUUAGCCUAGUUCAGGUCACCUUUGUCAUAAUAUACUCGCCAAUGUUGUUAUAGGAAACUGCAACAUCAACAUGGCUUGGACCAAGCUGUUUCUCUUGAAUUUCCAUUGCUCGUUCGUAAUAAUCCUUAGCCUGGUCCAGGUCACCUUUAUCAUAACACACUAGGCCCUUUUUGUUAUAACAAACUG